UGGGGAAUUUUGGACAAUGGGCGAAAGCCUGAUCCAGCAAUGCCGCGUGUGUGAAGAAGGCCUUCGGGUUGUAAAGCACUUUUGUCCGGAAAGAAAUCCUUGGCUCUAAUACAGUCGGGGGAUGACGGUACCGGAAGAAUAAGCACCGGCUAACUACGUGCCAGCAGCCGCGGUAAUACGUAGGGUGCAAGCGUUAAUCGGAAUUACUGGGCGUAAAGCGUGCGCAGGCGGUUUGCUAAGACCGAUGUGAAAUCCCCGGGCUCAACCUGGGAACUGCAUUGGUGACUGGCAGGCUAGAGUAUGGCAGAGGGGGGUAGAAUUCCACGUGUAGCAGUGAAAUGCGUAGAGAUGUGGAGGAAUACCGAUGGCGAAGGCAGCCCCCUGGGCCAAAUACUGACGCUCAUGCACGAAAGCGUGGGGAGCAAACAGGAUUAGAUACCCUGGUAGUCCACGCCCUAAACGAUGUCAACUAGUUGUUGGGGAUUCAUUCCUUAGUAACGUAGCUAACGCGUGAAGUUGACCGCCUGGGGAGUACGGUCGCAAGAUU
rnacentral:rRNA from 1 species